CUAAAAUUAGUAAUAAAAAAUUUAUCAAUUUAUUUUGUAUCUUAGUUUAUUGAGGAUAAGCUCAAUAAAAAUAAUAAAAUAGUAUAUAUCUCAUUUAAUUAACCACAUGGGCUUGAAAUUAGCCAUUGUAUUAAAGUUUGUUACAAAAUAGUCUUUACAUGCAGAAAGAUUAAUAUACUUUUUUUUAUAGGGGUAAUACGAAAAACCAAGAUAUCUUGAUUCACUUAUGCUAGGAUGAGUAUUGAUGUAUAGGAUACAUAAACAAAAAUAAAAAAAUACAUAAAAUAACUUUACUUAAAAUAAAAUAAGAAUAAGGAAUUCAGCAAACUCUUAGCUCCGCCUGUUUAUCAAAAACAUGGCUCUUUGUUAAUUAGAUAUAAAGAGUCGGACCUGCCCAGUGAAGUUUUAACGGCCGCGGUACUCUGACCGUGCAAAGGUAGCAUAAUCAUUUGCCUUAUAAUUGAAGGCUUGUAUGAAUGGUUUGACGGGAGCAUUACUGUCUUUUUUUUACCUUAUAGAACUUGACCUCUAGGUGAAGAGGCCUAGAUACAGUUGAAAGACAAAAGGACCCUGUCGAGCUUAAAAAUGGAUCAGAAUAAUUUUAUUAUUAAAGAUUAAUUACUGACUAGUUUUUUUGGUUGGGGCGACCAAGGAACAAAAAAGCUUCCUCUACUUUCUUAGCUGAUAAGCAUAGAUCCAGAAAAAGCUGAUUAAAAGAAAUAGUUACCGCAGGGAUAACAGCAUAAUCUCUCUUGAGAGACCUAAUCGAAAGAGGGGAUUGUGACCUCGAUGUUGGACUAGAAUAUCCUAAAGACGCAAAAGUCU
rnacentral:rRNA from 1 species